CAGCCGCCGCGGUAAUACAGAGGGUGCGAGCGUUAAUCGGAUUUACUGGGCGUAAAGCGUGCGUAGGCGGCUUUUUAAGUCGGAUGUGAAAUCCCUGAGCUUAACUUAGGAAUUGCAUUCGAUACUGGGAAGCUAGAGUAUGGGAGAGGAUGGUAGAAUUCCAGGUGUAGCGGUGAAAUGCGUAGAGAUCUGGAGGAAUACCGAUGUCGAAGGCAGCCAUCUGGCCUAAUACUGACGCUGAGGUACGAAAGCAUGGGGAGCAAACAGGAUUAGAUACCCGGGUAGUCCCUGUCUCUUAUAC
rnacentral:rRNA from 1 species